GGGUACUUAGAAUACGGUGGGUUUAAUUGUAAGUUAUACCAAUUUUUAAUAUCGGAAAAACUAAUUUUUUUUUUUUUUUUGAAUGGUUGUUAUAUUUUGUCGAGACACAUUCUGUGUCAAAUAUAAUAUUUAGUAUCUGACACUUUUGCGAUUUUCGAUCGCAUUAAAUUUGUUGCUGCUUGUGUCAUCGUAUGAUGUACAAUGUGAUUUAUCCUCGAUAAGACACUAAUUAUCUCGGAAAGUAUUUACUUGUUUUCGGAAUUUUUUUUUCUUUCGGACAACUUAUGAAACAAGUAGCUAUACGUCAACUCUAUUUUUGUCGUCCUUAUUUUAGGGAGUGAAAUUAUCACCCACUUUUCAAAACUAAACUAUAAUUAUAAUUCCAUAAAUAGAUGACGUUUUACUUUAAAUAAAUUUUUUAGUUGAAAUUUGUUAUUAAGUGGUCCAAAAAAAAAAAUAAAUAUAUUCCAAAAAAGCAAAUAGUUUUCGAGCUGAUAUGGACGUUAUCAAGGACUAAUUACUGUAUAUGUAUACAUUUGCAAUGUAUAGAUAAUGUUUAUAUAUAUGUAUACAUUGCAAAUAAAUCCGUGAUUCGAUAGAAAUAUAAGUUAUUUUUAUUGAUUUUAAAAAUUCUAAAAUGUCUACUAGUAUCAAUCACGCUUAUAUGGUAAAUGGGCAGUUUGUACUAUUUACUGUUUGUGUUGCAUAACCGCGGACACUUUGUACGGUAGAAAUUAACUGGUCAAAAUUAAUCACGGAUACUAUGCACGGUGGAAAUAAUCUGGAAGACGUGAAAUAUAUUUUAAAAGAUAAAUUAAAAUAAAAUUACUCAAAACUUUAGAUCAUUUUUGAUCGGUAUGAAUUUAGUGUCAUUGUAGAACAUAACUUAAUACACUAUGAACCAAUGCCAAACUACUAACAUAAAUCCAUAAUUGUUUAAAUAUGGGUAUGAAUAUAUCAUUUUAAGAACGGAUAAACAUAUAUUAGCAGAAAGUAUGGCAUAUCUAGAUUAUCUCUACAAAUUUGAAAUGUCUGACACCAAACGAUUAAUAAUUUACCUAGGACAAAUAAUUUUAGCGAAGGAUGGAACAGUCCAUCCGAUAAAGUGGUUGGAUCGGUUAAUCUAAGUUUCUGUAAUAUUUUUAGAUCAUUGAAAUUGGAUAAAUGUGCUAGUAGUUUAAAAAAAAAAAAAUACAAUAAAAAUAAUCGAAUGUACAAAAAAAAAAAAAAAAAAAAAUCACUAAGCCAGUACACACAGCACGACAAAUAAAAAAAUAACAAAUAUACUAUUACUUGAAAUAAUUUACCAUACUUUUAAUUUUUAGAUUCUGAGUGGAGUGAAGAAGCUUAUGGUUUUACAAAGAUGUUUAUUCUUUUAUUUUUUUUUUCUGUGGACUACCAGAGUACUUGCUCCGAUGUUUGUGUGUAGUAACUUUUCUGAAAAGAAAUCGGUGUCGGGAGGUACUAUAAACAGGCCAUUUUUGUUUUAUUUUAGAGUUUUCUUAUGAAAUGUGAAAAACCAAAAAAAAAAAAAAAAACGGAAAAAUGUCUAAAGUCUAUUUAAUUAUUUUACUAUAAAAUGACAUAGAUAUAUUGUUGACAAAGCAUUAUUAUCAACUGAACUCCGCUCAGAAUCGUUUUUCCGUAAGCAAUGGUUUGUCGUUGCUUACAUGUAUACAUUAAAUUACCUAUAACAGUGGCUGUACCCGUUCCCAUUAUUCUAGGGCGUCUUUUUUAAAUUUACAUGUUUUUAUGACUCACAAUUGAUAGUAAAUGUUUUAAAUAUUCACGAAGCCUGUACAUAGCACGAAUUUAUUAUAAUUAUUAUUUAUGUCUGUUGAAUAUCUGUGUUUUGUAAUAACGAAUUAUGUAAAAUGUAUACAUUUUUUAAAUAGUACAAACUGUCCGCAGUUUUCAUUUUUUCUGGGUGAACGUACACAAACAUGGCUUACAACCCGCUUAUAAACUGUACAGUGUACACGCUUUUUAUAUUGAAUUUCGCGUCUUUUGGGAUUUUAAGCGCGUGUACAAUUAAUUAUAUUAUAUAUAUUUAUUAUUUUUAAUUUUUAUAUUUCUUUUAGAUCCAGAUUUAGAGGGGCCUUCUCUCUACAAUGCAUUUUUCGUCUUAAGUAAGACUAAUUUAAAUAAUCGUUAAAAAUUAUCGUAUGUUCGGGUAUCGUGUUUACUAACUCCGUCCCGAAAAACAAUCUACCGUUCAAUUCAAAAGCCACCAAAUACUCAACAGACGAUUGUAAUUACUGCGAGUUCCGCUUAAAAUUAACUACAUGUACAAUGUACGUACAUUGUACUUGUAACUUUUGGAACAUACAACAAAAAAAAUAUAUAAAAAUACAUACAACUAUAAUAAAAUCAUACAAUACCAUAAAAACGAUAAACAUGUUCAUAAAAGUGAUUUAAUUAUCCGGUAUUUGGUGAUUCUAAUAAAAGGCUAGUUAAACGUUAAUAACAUACGAUUUGCAGGUUUAGAAUUUUCAUUUUUGAUUUCAAUAAACGGUUGAUUCUAUUUAACCAGCGAUCACAUUAAGUGAAAUUCACUGUAUUUUAAUACGUGGUCGUCGUAAAAUCAGUAAUUUCAUAAAAAUAACCGGGUACAUUUUCCAAUAAUUUUAUUUAGUUUUUAUGUAUCCGUUAUUAAGAAAAAAAUACAUUUCUAAAAAUUACCUCCCUACUAAAACUCACUUAAACAAUAGUGUAACAAAGUGUUAAUUUGUAAACAAUGUAUACUUGAUUUUUUUUUAUAAGACUGGAUUUUAAGUAAUUAUUAUUAUACGCCGUACAUUUUUAUUUUUUACAAACAUAUUAUAGCUGCAAAGCAUUUUGAAAUUCAAAAAGGUAAUUAAUUUCAUUUUUACUGUUCUCUAUUUAACAUAUAUUUAUUUAUUUUAGAUUCUGAUUGGAGUGAAGAAGCCUAUGGUUCUACAAAGAUGUUUAUUAUUUUAUUUUUAUUUUUUUUGUUCAACUUGGGGAGUUAUUUUAGGUAGGUCGUUUUUCGAUUUUCUCAGGAGUUUUCUCAUCAAAUUUGAAAAACCGAAAAAAAAUAAGAAAUGUAGAUAUUAGUUAAAAUAUAUUACUGCUUUCUUUUUUUCUGUGCACAACUUUUCUACCAGUAAGUUUGCUCCAACUUUUAAUUAUUGCUAAUUAUUGCUGUUUUUAUAAGGAAAUUUCAUUAGCGAGGUACUUUAGAGAGGUAAUUUUUUUGAUUUUCUCUAGAGUUUUCUAAGCAAAUGUAUAAAACCGGAAUAAAACAGGGGAAAAUCGGGAAAAAUUUAGGAAAAUUGGGAAAAUCAAUACAACAUUAAACAAAUUUUAUAAAGAAAAUAUGUAAAGCCUGUUUUAUUAUUUUACUAUAAAUGACAUAUAUAUUGUUGACAAAGCAUCACUAUCAACUGAACUCCGCUCAGAAUCGUUUUUUCUUAAGCAAUGGUUUAUCGUUGCUUACAGAUAUACAUUAAAUUCCCGUCUUAUAUCCUACCUUUCCAACUUCCCACCUACAUCAGUAGUUAUCUUACCUUUAUUUUUUUAUUAUAAAAAAUAGAUUGACAGGAGUUAACAGUUUGACGAAAAUUAAAUUUGUCAACAGCAAAGUGUAUUUAAAUUAAAAUUUCAUCUAUUUAUGGAAUUUUUAAUGUAGGUUGCCAUUUGAAAAUCAAAAACGGGAAGUGGUUUCGAAUUUCCCUUCCCCGAAAAAAAAAAUGGUAAAAAAAUGAGGACAAUAAAAAAAAGAAUAUUGUAUAAUAUGAGUGUAUUAUUCCAGAUAAUUGUUUUUACAUGAGUCAUGUUUGAAAAAAAAUCAGUAAUUCUUAAAAAUUUGACUGUAAUAUGAAAUUUGGAAAACCUGUAGCCAGCGACUAAACCGCUAAACUGAGGAAGGAAAUAGAUUAUUUCUUUAAAAAAAAAAAAAAACCUUGAAAGAGUUAUAAUAUAAGUACGGUUAAGUAGUCAUAUUAAAAGCUUUUAAACAACUGGACCGAUUUUCAAGAAUUUUUCCCCAUAUACCUAUUUACUGUUACUGCGGUAUCUAUAGGCCGAAAAAAUUGUUUGCGUUUUUCACAAAUGAAGGCAAGACCAACGGCAUUGUGCAUAAAACUGUGUUGUUUUAGAAAGAUUAAAGAAGCUAUCUAUUUUCGAGUGUACGCAAGAACCCGCUAAUUUCAUUUUUAUAUUAGCCUGGCAUUAAAAUAUAUAAUAAUGUGUGCACAUUGGACCUGUAACUUUUGGAACAUACAAUAAAAAAACAUAUAACUAUAAUAAAAAUAUACUAUACCAUAAAAACGAUAAGAUGUACGUAAAAGUGAUUUAAUUAUCCGGUACUUGGCGAUUCUAAAUAAAUGGCUAAUUUAACAUUAAUAACAUACGUUUUGCAGGUUUGGGAUUUCCAUUUUUGAUUCGAAUAAACGGUUGAUUCUAUAAACCAGUGAUCACAUUGAGUGGAAUUCACUGUACAUUAAUACGCGGUCGUCGUAAAAUCGGUUUUUUUAUUUAAUUUGCAUUUAUCUGUUAUUAAGGAAAAUAUAUAUUUCUACGAAGACGUCCUAGGAUAAUGGGGACGGGUGCAGCCAGUGUUAUAGGCAAUUUAAUGUAUACAUGUUAGCAACGACAUAAACCAUUGUUUACGAAAAAACGAUUCUGAGCGGAGUUCAGUUGAUAGUGAUGCUUGGUCAACAAUAUAUACGUCAUUUUAUAGUAAAAUAAUUAAAUAAGCUUUAUAUAUUUUUUUUUAAUAAUUUUUGUUUAAUGUUGUACCGAUUUUCCUAGUUUUCCUAUUUUUUUCACAUUUGCUGAGAAGAGUCGGGAGAAAAUGGAAAAACGUCCUAUUUAAAGUACCUCCCCGGUGAAAUUCCCUUUCAGAAAUAUUGCUAUCGUUAAAAAUUGGAACAAAAUUGCUGGUAAAAAAGUUGUUUACAAAAAAAAAAAUCAUCAUAUUAUAUGUAUUACAUUUUGUAAAUUUUUUCGGGUUUUCGCAUUACAUUAGAAAAUUCUUGCGAAUAUCGAAAAAUUAUCUCUUAAAGGUACCUCCCCACGCUGAUUCAUCUUUAGAAAAUGUGCUUAACGUUGAAAUCCGAGUAAGUAGUCUGGUAGAAAUAUUGUUAACAGAUAAAAAAAAAAAAAAUAUACAUAUUUGUAAAACUAUAAGCAUCUUCGAUCUACUCAGAAUCUAAAAUUACCUCUAUAAAAAAAUUCACUUAAACAAUAUUGCAGCAAAGUGUAAUUUCUAAACAAUGUAUACUUUAUUUGUUUUUAUAAGACUGGUUUGAGAUGUUUUUAAAGUAAUUAUUUUUUUACGCCAUACAUUAUUUUUUUACAAACAUAUUACAGCUAAAGAGUCUUAUGUAACUGAACUAGGUAAUUUAUUGCAUUUUUACUGUUCAUUAUUUAACACAUAUUUAUUUAUUCUUUUGUGAUACAAAACUGAUUGACAAAAAUAAAAUUUUCAACACCAAAGUAUAUUUUAACUAAAAUUGAUCUAUUUAUGGAAUUUUUAAUGUAAGUUGCCAAUUGAAAAUCAAAAAUGGGUAGUGCUUUUGAACUUCCCUUUCCCGAAAAAAAAAAAUCGGUAAAGAAAUAAGGACAGUAACAAAAUGAGUUUAGGAAAACAAAGCAAGUGAAAAAAAAGCAAUGGAAAAAAAAGCAAGUAAAAAAAGAGUUAUAUUGGGGACGAGAGUGGUCACUGUUGUAGGUGAGAAAAUGGGAAGGUAGAAUACAAAAGGUUGUUUUAUUUAUAUCUGUAAGCAACGAUAAACCAUUGCUGACGAAAGACGAUUCCGAGAACAGUUCGGUAUUGCAUAAUUUGAAGGGCUGUAAUUUUUUUUGCGAUUUUCGUUUAAAUUAGAUUAGUAAAUUUGAGCAUUCCGUCCAUUUUUCAAGUCACUACAAAUAUUUUUAACUGAAUCACAAUAACUUCGACUUCUUCCGGUUUUUCCGAAUCAUUAUGAAAUUAAAAAAAGACUUACGCUAUAAGAUGUGCUAUGAAACAAAAAAAGGUUUUUUGUCGUUUUUCGAUUAAAGCACUUUUCCUAAUAAUAAACGUUUUCCGUAUUAAUAUAAAAUAAUGAUAUCGUGAAAUUGUACGUUUUUUCCUGAUUAUUGUGAAAAUUAAUUUGUAAAUCAAAAAAAAAAAAAAAAAGAAUUGCAUUAAUAAAACAAGAUUGAUAAUUCAACAAAAAAGGUUUCAUGUCGUUUUUCAUUUGAAGCUAUAUUUGUGCUAGAAAACGUGGUGAGUACUUAUUUAAAAUAACGAAAUCGUGAAAAAAUUGUAUUUUUUUUCCCGGUUAAUCAUUUUUAUUUUAAAAACCUUUUCGAAAGUUAAAAAAGUGACCUAUUUAUUUCCCAAGUAGAUAAAAUUGAAUUUCAAAAAAGGUGCUACACUUAUACAUCUGAACAAGUUUUCUAGGAUAAACGUGGUCUGCAGUUAAAAAAAAAAAAUUUUUUCACUUGCUUUUUUUUCUGAAUUCCUAACAAAAUAAUAUUUUAUAAUACGUAUGUGUGAUUCAACACAAAUUUUUUUGCAUAGGUUAUGUUUGAAAAAAAAUCAGUGAUUCUUCGGAAAUUUGACUGUAAUAAGAAAUUCGGAAAAACCUGUUGUCAGCGGCUAAACUGCUGAACUGAUUUUGAUGAAAUUUGGUAUGGAGAUAACUAGAAUUUUGAGGAAGGAAAUAUACUAGUUUUUUAAUAAACCAUUAAAUGAUUUAUAGUAUCAGUAUGGUUAAGUCAUAUUAAAAACUUUAAAACAACUGGAUCGAUUUUCAAGAUUCUUUUUCUAUAUACCUUUUUUCCGUUUCUACACUACAGGGGCGUAUUCAGCUCAUAUUCAAAGGGGAGGGGGAGUGAAAUUCAAAAUGUAUUCAUACUUAUAAAUUAUUAGUUAAAACGUAUAUAUCUAUGAACGUAUUACUGAUACGUAUUACAGUAUUACAGAUUGUUAAUAGAUCGGGAGUUCAACAAAUUCUGAUCCUUCUGAUUCUUGCCUAAAAUUUGAUUAAUUGAUUUCUAUCAGCUUUGGUAAUUAUUAUUAGGAAGUAAGGAUAAUAAAGCCCCGAUAAAAAAAGCCCUUGACCAAAAACCACACAUGGAAAAAAAAGACUCGACGUACGUAAAAUAAGUCCCAGGGAUAAAAUACAGUUAUUGGCAUCUUAAGAAAAUGUUUUUAUAAGUAUUGAAAAGGAGGUUUGGGAAAAAGUCCCAUUGUAAAAAUUAAUAUUAUACAUUUAAAAAAAUAAAAAACUGCAAAAAUAUUUAGGUUAUUAUUUUAAAACAUGUUUGAAGUAUAUUAUUGCUUAUUGUAUACUUUUGUUGGAAAUCUAUUUAUCUUAUUUUUCUAUUUUAAUGUUUUAAAAACCCUAUAUAGAAUAGUAUAAAAUAAUAUACCGUAAGUUUAAGUAUCAAAUAUAUGUUAUAUUGUAUAUUAAGACUCGGGCUUUUUAAUUAAUAAUUUUAGUAUAUUAUUUGUAGUCAAUUUAUCCAUAUCAGUUGUUGUAAGGAUAUCUGAUUGUAGUUUUUGUAGUAGGUAAAUAUUAUAUGAAUUUGUUUUUGCUUCGUCAGGGCUUUUUUAUCCUCAUGUGAUUUUUGGCCAGACGCUUUUUUUUCCUUAUACCAUUAUCAGCAAUUAUGUAUAGCCAUUAUUUCGUAUAUAAGUGUAUUAUGAAUUUCAGUAUUAAGUAUGAAUGAACACGGUUAGCACAAACGUCGAAAAUUACUGCAGACCUGCAGCGCCGUAUGAGUAUUACCAUGGCCGUCUUUCCAUUAAAGCUUAUCAAUUUGUGUUAUGAUAUAGUUAUCACGGAUCUAUCGAAUCAUUCCCCGAAAACAAAAUAAGUUAAUAACACGGACCAUGGUUGCAGAGUACAGACAAUAGUCGUAUAGAAAAUCACAAUAUAAUUAUGUAAAACAAUAAGACGUCCUAGGAUAAUGGGGACGGGACAGUCAUUGUUAUAGAUAAUUUAAUGUAUACCUGUAAGCAGCGAUAAACCAUUGCUUACGAAAAAACGAUUCUGAGCGGAAUUCAGUUGAUAAUGAUGCUUUUUUAACAAUAUAUAUGUCAGUUUAUAGUAAAAUAAUUAAAUGGGCUUUAGAUAUUUUCUUGAAUAAUAUUUGUUUAAUGUUGAACCGAUUUUCUCAAUUUUUCUACGUUUUUCCCGGUUUUCUCAUGUUUUAUCCCGGUUUUUCACAUUUCUUGGGAAAACUCCUAAGAAAAUCGAAAAACGACUUGCUUUAAUUACCUCCCCACACCGAUUUCCUUUCAGAAAAUAUGCUACACGUAGAAAUUCGAGCAAGUCUCCUGGUAGAAAAAGUUGUUAACAAAUAAGAAAAAAAAAAACAUAUUUUUAAAACCAUAAGUUUCUUUGUUCCACUCAGAAUCUAAAAAAUCUAAAAUACAAAAACGUAUUUUGCAUUAGAGUUCAUUCUCUAUUUAUACCCAAGAGUAGGUAUGUUUAUAAUAACUACAAUAUCUCUUAUCUCUUAUAUCAAUCUCUUAACAAAUUUUUGAUAACCAUUUCCGCACAAAAAAAUUAUUUUUUUUUAAAUUUUCGAUUAAUAAUUAUAAAAUAAUUAAGUAUCUAUACAUAAAACAAAUUCAAUAAUGCUCAAAGGGGCGAUCGUUCCUAUUGCCCCCCUUGUAUGCGCCCCUACUGUGGUAUCUAUAGGCCAAAGGAAUUGUUCUCGUUUUCCACAAAAGAAGACAGGACCAAAAACAUUGUGCAUAAAACUGUGUUGAGUUAAAUCAAACAGAACUACUAAUAUAUUAAUUUUAAAUAAUUUAAUUUUGUAUUGACGAACACGAAUUAUCACUGCUUUACUGAUCCAAGGAAUAUAUACUAUAAUAUAUUAUAUACGUUUAGAUAGUCUUUGGUAAAAUAGCAAGUGUGCUGUUCGUAUAAUGAACUCAUGACUUUAUGAUUAUUCCUAGAACGUGGUAAGUUCACAGGUCUUGAAAAACAAAAUAUACGGACCAGAAAAUAAAAUGCUGUCUAGUUUAUUUAUUAUUGAGUGUAAAAACUAGAUAUAAUAUUGUUUUUUCUACGAUAUUGUCAAAAUAAUUUAAUUCAACAUCUGGGGACCAUUAUUUCAACUGCAGCGAUAUCGAAAAUAACACAAUAACGUACGUAUUAUUCAUUUUAUUCGUAGAUGUUAUUGAAGAUUAUUACAAUUACAUCAGAACACAUUGUGAUAGGAGAGGUAAGUGUUUUUCGGGCUACCGUAUUAUUUAUUUGUAUACUUAAAACAAAUUAGUUAUAUUAUCGUAAGCGUAAAUAUUGGGAGGGGGCUAAGUCUUUCAAAAUCAACCACAGGGACGCAUACAAUUCGAUGUAUCUAUCUAUAUUUUUUAUACCAUUAAAUUUGAGGUUUUUGUUUUUUAAUCAUAAACACGCUAUUGAUGUAUACAAAAUAUAUAUAUUAUUACUAAAAGAUAAUAUUUUAAUCGAAUGAAUAAAGGGAGAGAACUAAUGUCCCUUUAGACUUUUAAUGCAGAACUGUAAAACAAACUUUUAAUAUAGAACUACAGAAAAAAAAAAAAAAAAUGCUGUAAACCAUACUGUAAAUAUAGAAACACGAUGAACAUUAUAUUCUUCGGAAUACGAAAUUACUUAAGUAGCUUUAAUUUUGUAUAAAAAAUUGUUUGGGAAAACUAGACUUAGAGUGUAUUUGUAAGUUAUAUUUUCGUAACUACUUAGUUACGGUAUGUUCCUAUCUUCAGAUUACUGAUAAAAUUGGUUUUGGUUUAAUUACAUAUUAAAAAAAACAUAAGCAUGUAAAUUUAAAUUUAAAAUAAAUAAAAACCGUUAUAAAACGAAUUUCUGUUCAUAUUUCAUUUUGUGAUAAAACCGUUACGUAGAUUAAAUAUUUGUUCUACAAUAUAAUAUAUUAAUAGCUAUAUAUUUUAUCGGCUGCCGCUACAUGGCUGGCUGUAUCUCGAUUUAAUUCGUAUCUCCAAGAUCGUUUAUUCAAGGUAGUGUCGUUUGUCGGUAUCCCCUACGAAAUAGUUCGUGUUACUACUCAUCGAAUGUGAUAAGAUAAGCAGUUGGAUAAAGUGAGAUCCGACUUUUUUCAUUGUGACAGGCGAAUUUAUAAUAUACUCUGAUGGAUCACGGAUUAAAAUAAUUUUUAAUGGAAUUCCUAACGGAAAUUGUCGUUUUCUGAAGUUUUACCUAUGGACGCCCUUUGUUGUAUACUGUACCAUAUUACUUACAUUUACAUAAUACCUAUACCGGCUAUACAUUAGCAUAAUUUUUUUUUUUUUAUUUAGGAUUGGUUAUGGUACACACACCGAGGAACUUUUGUGGAUUUCCAGAUGAGGAGAAACCGGAUGAGACAGUUUAGAACCUUUCAACGUCCUAACUAAACAGCACGACCAGAAAUAAAAAAAAAUGCAGUCAAUCGUAUAUUUAUUUAUUUCAUGUAUAAUUAUUAUAACACAGCAAAAUAAACUGUCUAUACGUGAAUUGCUGUUUUUUUUCUUUAGUACUUAUGAUUCGUAGAUAAUAGUCGACGACUACCGAGCCUACUCAUGUAUUUAACAUCUUUUUUGGUUAUAUUUCUGUCUAACGAAUUUUGAACUUUUACUUCUAUUACAUUUAACGUUUUUUUAUCUUGACAAAACGCUGCUGGAGUAAAUGCUGAU